CUACGGGUGGCUGCAGUAAGGAAUAUUGCGCAAUGGAGGCAACUCUGACGCAGCCAUGCUGCGUGCAGGAAGAAGGCCUUAUGGGUCGUAAACUGCUUUUAUUUAGGAAUAAACCCCCGAACGUGUUCGGGGCUGAAGGUACUAAACGAAUAAGCACCGGCUAACUCCGUGCCAGCAGCCGCGGUAAUACGGAGGGUGCAGGCGUUAUCCGGAUUUAUUGGGUUUAAAGGGUGCGCAGGCGGGCUAUUAAGUCAGUGGUGAAAUCCCGGGGCUCAACUCCGGAACUGCCAUUGAUACUGAGAGUCUUGAGUUUGGUUGAAGUGGGCGGAAUGUAGCAUGUAGCGGUGAAAUGCAUAGAUAUGCUACAGAACACCAAUCGCGAAGGCAGCUCACUAAGCCAAAACUGACGCUCAUGCACGAAAGCGUGGGGAUCAAACAGGAUUAGAUACCCCCGUAGUC
rnacentral:rRNA from 1 species